rnacentral:lncRNA from 1 species
GCAUGGUAUCUCUCUGGCUGAACGAUGCAGAACACAGGUGCUCUCACCAGGUUCAACAAAUCCUCCUUAAUAGUAGAAAGCCCUCUAUAAGAGCGACCUACCUGGCAAAAUGGAAAAGGUUCUCCCACUGGUGCGAGCCUCUACGCAUACAGCCUUUACAAGCCUCAGUUCCAUCGAUCUUGGACUACCUACUGCACCUCAAGAAUCAAGGACUGGCGCCCGCCUCGAUUAGAGUGCAUUUAGCCGCUAUUUCGGCUUUCCAUCCGGGAGAGUUGGGAGUGUCAGUGUUCUCCAACCCCACAGUGGCCCGAUUCCUCAAGGGGCUGGAAAGGGUGUUUCCCUACUCGCGCCCGCCUGUCCCGGCGUGGAAUCUGAACCUAGUCCUAACAAGACUCAUGGGUCCCCCCUUUGAGCCCCUAGCCACUUGCUCCCUCACGCACCUCUCGUGGAAGGUGGGGUUUCUCGUGGCCAUCACGUCGGCCAGAAGGGUAUCAGAAUUGCGGACCCUCACUUCGGAACCACCCUAUACAGUGUUCCAUAAGGAUAAGGUGCAACUGAGGCCGCACCCCAAAUUCCUUCCAAAAGUGGUAUCACAGUUUCACAUGGGGCAGGACAUUUGCCUACCGGUGUUCUUUCCUAAACCCCAUACGGACCCUCACCACCGCAGCCUACAUACCCUAGAUGUUCGAAGGGCGUUGGCAUUCUACCUGGAACGGAGCAGGUCGUUCCGCAGAACACCUCAGCUGUUCAUUGCUAUUGCGGAACGUAUGAAAGGCUUGCCUAUCUCGACACAGCGCUUGUCGGCAUGGAUUGUGCAUUGUAUACGCACCUGUUAUGAGCUCGCCAAUGUUCCGGCCCCGGAGAUCCGGGCCCACUCGACUAGGGCCCAAGCGUCCUCAACGGCCUUCUUGGCGCAGGUCCCUAUCCAGGAGAUCUGUAAGGCGGCCACCUGGUCGUCCGUGCAUACGUUCACAGCCCACUACGCGAUCCAUCAUCAGACCAGAGAGGACGCGAUGGUCGGGCGGGCUGUGCUACAGUCAGUUGUACCUUGACUCCUACCCACCU